rnacentral:lncRNA from 1 species
CUGAAGGCCACAAGAUGUGGGGGAGUUAGUUGCUCAGAUGGCUUUGAGGCAGAAACAAAGAUAAUAGAUCAACUUUGAGCUGAAGGUGGAAAGCUCCAGGCUGUUUCGGAGGCCAGAGGUCAAAACACAGGUGUGAUUCUAUUCUCUUCAUCCUGCACCCCAUCCCUAUGGACACCUCCCUUUGAUCUUUCUAGUGAACUUCCCAGCACAACGAUUGUGAGGAAUUUUCCACAGGAAGAAACUCAAA